GGCGAACGCUGGCGGCGUGCUUAACACAUGCAAGUCGAACGGUGAAAGCGGAGCUUGCUCCGCUGGAUCAGUGGCGAACGGGUGAGUAACACGUGGGCAACCUGCCCCUCACUUCGGGAUAACUCCGGGAAACCGGGGCUAAUACCGGAUAUGACCUCCUUGGGCAUCCUUGGAGGUGGAAAGUUUUUCGGUGAGGGAUGGGCCCGCGUCCUAUCAGCUAGUUGGUGAGGUAACGGCUCACCAAGGCGACGACGGGUAGCCGGCCUGAGAGGGUGACCGGCCACACUGGGACUGAGACACGGCCCAGACUCCUACGGGAGGCAGCAGUGGGGAAUAUUGCACAAUGGGCGCAAGCCUGAUGCAGCAACGCCGCGUGAGGGAUGACGGCCUUCGGGUUGUAAACCUCUUUUAGUAGGGAAGAAGCGAAAGUGACGGUACCUGCAGAAAAAGCACCGGCUAACUACGUGCCAGCCGCCGCAGUAA
rnacentral:rRNA from 1 species